rnacentral:rRNA from 1 species
GAUGAACGCUGGCGGCGUGCCUAAUACAUGCAAGUCGAGCGAACAGACGAGGAGCUUGCUCCUCUGACGUUAGCGGCGGACGGGUGAGUAACACGUGUAUAACCUACCUAUAAGACUGGGAUAACUUCGGGAAACCGGAGCUAAUACCGGAUAAUAUAUUGAACCGCAUUGUUCAAUAGUGAAAGACGGUUUUGCUGUCACGUAUAGAUGGAUCCGCGCCGCAUUAGCUGGUUGGUAAGGUAACGGCUUACCAAGGCAACGAUGCGUAGCCGACCUGAGAGAGUGAUAGGCCACCCGGGAACGGAGACACGGUCCAGACUCCUACGGGACGCAGCAGUAGGGAAUCUUCCGCAAUGGGCGAAAGCUUGACGGAGCAACGCCGAGUGAGUGAUGAAGGUCUUCGGAUCGUAAAACUCUGUUAUUAGGGAAGAACAAAUGUGUAAGUAAAUGUGCACGUCUUGACGGUACCUAAUCAGAAAGCCACGGCUAACUACGUG